rnacentral:rRNA from 1 species
AGUUUGAUUAUGGCUCAGGAUGAACGCUAGCUACAGGCUUAACACAUGCAAGUCGAGGGGCAGCAUUUUAGUUUGCUUGCAAACUAAAGAUGGCGACCGGCGCACGGGUGAGUAACACGUAUCCAACCUGCCGAUAACUCGGGGAUAGCCUUUCGAAAGAAAGAUUAAUAUCCGAUAGUAUAUUAAAACCGCAUGGUUUUACUAUUAAAGAAUUUCGGUUAUCGAUGGGGAUGCGUUCCAUUAGUUUGUUGGCGGGGUAACGGCCCACCAAGACUACGAUGGAUAGGGGUUCUGAGAGGAAGGUCCCCCACAUUGGAACUGAGACACGGUCCAAACUCCUACGGGAGGCAGCAGUGAGGAAUAUUGGUCAAUGGACGAGAGUCUGAACCAGCCAAGUAGCGUGAAGGAUGACUGCCCUAUGGGUUGUAAACUUCUUUUAUAUGGGAAUAAAGUAUUCCACGUGUGGGAUUUUGUAUGUACCAUAUGAAUAAGGAUCGGCUAACUCCGUGCCAGCAGCCGCGGUAAUACGGAGGAUCCGAGCGUUAUCCGGAUUUAUUGGGUUUAAAGGGAGCGUAGGUGGAUUGUUAAGUCAGUUGUGAAAGUUUGCGGCUCAACCGUAAAAUUGCAGUUGAAACUGGCAGUCUUGAGUACAGUAGAGGUGGGCGGAAUUCGUGGUGUAGCGGUGAAAUGCUUAGAUAUCACGAAGAACUCCGAUUGCGAAGGCAGCUCACUAGACUGCAACUGACACUGAUGCUCGAAAGUGUGGGUAUCAAACAGGAUUAGAUACCCUGGUAGUCCACACAGUAAACGAUGAAUACUCGCUGUUUGCGAUAUACAGUAAGCGGCCAAGCGAAAGCAUUAAGUAUUCCACCUGGGGAGUACGCCGGCAACGGUGAAACUCAAAGGAAUUGACGGGGGCCCGCACAAGCGGAGGAACAUGUGGUUUAAUUCGAUGAUACGCGAGGAACCUUACCCGGGCUUAAAUUGCAUUUGAAUAAUCUGGAAACAGGUUAGCCGCAAGGCAAAUGUGAAGGUGCUGCAUGGUUGUCGUCAGCUCGUGCCGUGAGGUGUCGGCUUAAGUGCCAUAACGAGCGCAACCCUUAUCUUUAGUUACUAACAGGUCAUGCUGAGGACUCUAGAGAGACUGCCGUCGUAAGAUGUGAGGAAGGUGGGGAUGACGUCAAAUCAGCACGGCCCUUACGUCCGGGGCUACACACGUGUUACAAUGGGGGGUACAGAAGGCAGCUACCUGGUGACAGGAUGCUAAUCCCAAAAACCUCUCUCAGUUCGGAUCGAAGUCUGCAACCCGACUUCGUGAAGCUGGAUUCGCUAGUAAUCGCGCAUCAGCCAUGGCACGGUGAAUACGUUCCCGGGCCUUGUACACACCGCCCGUCAAGCCAUGAAAGCCGGGGGUACCUGAAGUACGUAACCGCAAGGAGCGUCCUAGGGUAAAACUGGUAAUUGGGGCUAAGUCGUAAAAAGGUAGCC